AGUGAACGCUGGCGGUAGGCCUAACACAUGCGAGUCGAACGGCAGCACAGUAAGAGCUUGCUCUUACGGGUGGCGAGUGGCGGACGGGUGAGGCAUACAUCGGAAUCUACUUUUUCGUGGGGGAUAACGUAGGGAAACUUACGCUAAUACCGCAUACGACCUACGGGUGAAAGCAGGAGAUCUUCGGACCUUUCGCGAUUGAAUGAGCCGAUGUCGGAUUAGCUAGUUGGCGGGGUAAGGGCCCACCAAGGCGACGAUCCGUAGCUGGUCUGAGAGGAUGAUCGGCCACACUGGAACUGAGACACGGUCCAGACUCCUACGGGAGGCAGCAGUGGGGAAUAUUGGACAAUGGGCGCAAGCCUGAUCCAGCCAUACCGCGAGGGUGAAGAAGGCCUUCGGGUUGUAAAGCCCUUUUGUUGGGAAAGAAAAGCAGCAGGUUAAUACCCCGCUGUUCUGACGGUACCCAAAGAAUAAGCACCGGCUAACUUCGUG
rnacentral:rRNA from 1 species